ACGGGUGAGUAACACGUGGGCAAUCUGCCCUGCACUCUGGGACAAGCCCUGGAAACGGGGUCUAAUACCGGAUACUGAUCCUCGCAGGCAUCUGCGAGGUUCGAAAGCUCCGGCGGUGCAGGAUGAGCCCGCGGCCUAUCAGCUAGUUGGUGAGGUAACGGCUCACCAAGGCGACGACGGGUAGCCGGCCUGAGAGGGCGACCGGCCACACUGGGACUGAGACACGGCCCAGACUCCUACGGGAGGCAGCAGUGGGGAAUAUUGCACAAUGGGCGAAAGCCUGAUGCAGCGACGCCGCGUGAGGGAUGACGGCCUUCGGGUUGUAAACCUCUUUCAGCAGGGAAGAAGCGAAAGUGACGGUACCUGCAGAAGAAGCGCCGGCUAACUACGUGCCAGCAGCCGCGGUAAUACGUAGGGCGCAAGCGUUGUCCGGAAUUAUUGGGCGUAAAGAGCUCGUAGGCGGCUUGUCACGUCGGUUGUGAAAGCCCGGGGCUUAACCCCGGGUCUGCAGUCGAUACGGGCAGGCUAGAGUUCGGUAGGGGAGAUCGGAAUUCCUGGUGUAGCGGUGAAAUGCGCAGAUAUCAGGAGGAACACCGGUGGCGAAGGCGGAUCUCUGGGCCGAUACUGACGCUGAGGAGCGAAAGCGUGGGGAGCGAACAGGAUUAGAUACCCUGGUAGUCCACGCCGUAAACGGUGGGCACUAGGUGUGGGCAACAUUCCACGUUGUCCGUGCCGCAGCUAACGCAUUAAGUGCCCCGCCUGGGGAGUACGGCCGCAAGGCUAAAACUCAAGGAAUUGACGG
rnacentral:rRNA from 1 species